rnacentral:rRNA from 1 species
AUCGUCAMAUGGGUUGUUGCUGGCCCCCGAACGGGACAUGUGCACGCUCUGUUUACACAUCCACUCACACCUGUGCACCCUCUGUAGUUCUGUGGACCGGGAGACAUCGUCUUCCUUCCGUAGCUCUACGUCUUYACACACACACCGUAGCGACGUCUCAUGGAAUGUUUUUUCGCGUUUAACGCAAUACAAUACAACUUUCAGCAACGGAUCUCUUGGCUCUCGCAUCGAUGAAGAACGCAGCGAAAUGCGAUAAGUAAUGUGAAUUGCAGAAUUCAGUGAAUCAUCGAAUCUUUGAACGCACCUUGCGCCCCUUGGUUAUUCCUCGGAGCAUGCCUGUUUGAGUAUCAUGAACACCUCAACUCUCAUGGUCUUCCAUGACGAGCUUGGACUUUGGGGGUUUGCUGGCCUUGUGGCCGGCUCCUCUCAAAUGAAUCAGCUUGCCAGUGUUUGGCGGCGUCACGGGUGUGAUAACUAUCUACGCUCGCGGUCGUCCGCCAGGUAACCCUCAGCGAUGAAGGUUCAUUGGGGCUCAUAAACGUCUCUCCCCAGCGAGGACAACUUUUGAACGUUCGAUCUCAAAUCAGGUAGGACUACCCGCUGAACUUAAGCAUAUCAAUAAGCGGAGGAAAAGAAACUAACAAGGAUUCCCCUAGUAACUGCGAGUGAAGCGGGAAGAGCUCAAAUUUAAAAUCUGGCGUGCCUUUGGUCGUCCGAAUUGUAGUCUGGAGAAGCGUUUUCCGUGCUGGAC